GCAAUUCGACGCGCCCUUCGGGGUGGCGGCGGACGGGUUCGUAACGCGGGGCCGUGCCCAGAUCUAGGAAAGCCACUGGAAACGGUGAGUAAUACCUUAUACGCCCUUCGGGGGAAGAUUUAUCGGAUUUGGAUCGGCCCGCGUUAGAUUAGGUAGUUGGUGGGGUAAUGGCCUACCAAGCCUACGAUCUAUAGCUGGUUUUAGAGGAUGAUCAGCAACACUGGGACUGAGACACGGCCCAGACUCCUACGGGAGGCAGCAGUGGGGAAUCUUGGACAAUGGGGGCAACCCUGAUCCAGCCAUGCCGCGUGAGUGAUGAAGGCCUUAGGGUCGUAAAGCUCUUUCGCCUGUGAUGAUAAUGACAGUAGCAGGUAAAGAAACCCCGGCUAACUCCGUGCCAGCAGCCGCGGUAAUACGGAGGGGGUUAGCGUUGUUCGGAAUUACUGGGCGUAAAGCGCGCGUAGGCGGAUUAGUCAGUUAGAGGUGAAAUCCCAGGGCUCAACCCUGGAACUGCCUUUAAUACUGCUAGUCUUGAGUUCGAGAGAGGUGAGUGGAAUUCCGAGUGUAGAGGUGAAAUUCGUAGAUAUUCGGAGGAACACCAGUGGCGAAGGCGGCUUACUGGCUCGAUACUGACGCUGAGGUACGAAAGUGUGGGGGAGCAAACAGGAUUAGAUACCCUGGUAGUCCACACCG
rnacentral:rRNA from 1 species